UAUUAAAUCCAUAAUAGGAUUCGGGGAAAAAGGGACAUUCUUGCUGCGAUACAAGCACGUUAUCUAUAGCGAGAUUUCAAUGCAUGGAUGCUACGUUUUCGUUCGACAAUAGAAAGCUAAGCAAAACCACGCUAUUUACGAAGAAGACAGCGAAUAGAAAAGAAAGGAGGAAAAAAGUGAUCAGGGUUUGUGUAGGGGGUUAAAUGCCGAAGGGAUACGAGAAGGAAAGUGUAAUCCCAAACGAUCAGCGUGCGGCAGAUUCGGCCUUAAUGAGCUCCCGCAAUGAUAAAUGAUACCGUGGGCCGCGCCUCUCUCUUACCGCGUUUAUCCACCAGUCAGAAUAGGGUGUAUCCAUGUACGGGGUACAGGUCGGCGUACUACACGGUUCCUCUGCGCCUGUACCAACGUACGACGGCAUCCAUCCUACCAGCGAGGAGCUCCGAUCUCUCGUUCUCGUUCCAUCGCGCCGCGUGAAGCCUUCAUCUCCGCCUACGAUUCCUCAAACUCGGCCCAGGGUUUGACCACGGAGGAAUUCAAAAUGGCAACUUUAGGCUCAGUAAGACCUAUCUCAUAUGAGUGACACCUAUCCAUCUCUCUUGGACGUUUCAAUUGGAUGUUCUUCGCACACCUCAGGCGAUGAAUCUACGCAGAAAUUACGUUUAAAUAAGCCUAUGGGCCUUCGGUCAAUCAAGAGACAAAGAUAGGGAUCAAUUGUAUUCACUUCUUUAAAAUUACUCACUUUGAGGUUACGACUUCCCAAAAGAAUACAAAACCCUCGUCAAAUCCUACCUGGAUGAUUCAAAAUCUGACGAAAGUUAGACAAACAGCAGUCCGUGGAUCAACCAGAUGCAGCUGCCGUCGACGACUAGCUGACAGGUGAUUUCGUCUCGGUGAAAGAAGAUGAUUGCCUCAUUACAGCAACUAACUAUAAGCGGGUAAUAAUCCUAUAACUUUGUUUUUUAUUAUUCCUUCAAUAAUUAUAUACAAGCAGUAAAGUAAGUGAGUUGUCAAGUAUAUAAAACUGGAACGCUCGUUGAAGGUUGAAAUUUCUUUAUCGAAAAAAAAAUUUACAUUGAUUAUAACU